GUACUUGCUUCAGCAGGACAUACACGAAAAUUGGAAUCAUACAGCGAAGAUUAGCAUGGCCCCUGUGCAAGGAUGACAUGCAAAUUUGUAAAGCGCUCCAUAUUUUG
rnacentral:snRNA from 1 species